UACGUAGGGGGCAAGCGUUGUCCGGAUUUACUGGGCGUAAAGAGCGUGUAGGCGGCCACGCAGGUCCGUUGUGAAAACUGGAGGCUCAACCUCCAGCUGUCGACGGAAACCGUGUGGCUAGAGUCCGGAAGAGGAGAGUGGAAUUCCUGGUGUAGCGGUGAAAUGCGCAGAUAUCAGGAGGAACACCAGCGGCGAAGGCGGCGCUCUGGGCCGGAACUGACGCUGAGGAGCGAAAGCGUGGGUAGCAAACAGG
rnacentral:rRNA from 1 species